CAAAGAGAAACUGAAUUGGCGAGGGAAUAUACGGUGUAUGUGUUCAAUUCUAAGGUUUAAAAAGCAACAUCAAAUAUGCGAGUGCCUUGGGUCAGAAUCUUGUUGUUUGUUUUCGCCGCUUGCGGUACAGAAGCUACAAAUUGUAGUUCGAUUAAAGGUUUGUGUGUAUACUUAAUAAGUCUUGAGUACUGUAAAUUGUACUGUAGGUGUGUGUUUAAUUAAUGCCUUAUUCUCGAUCCAUGCAAAUCUGUAUUAUAACAACCAUGCUUUCAUGCCAAGCUUUUCUUCGGGUUUGGUCAAAAGAUCUCUGUGAUAUUACUGUAUAAAAGCACACAUUUGCAGACCUGCCAAGUCUCACGAUUUAAUCGUGAGACUCACGAUUUUUGAUGCUUUCUCACGAUUAAGUCCCCAAAUCUCACGAUUUUCGGAACUUAUGAAAUCAUCGAAAAGCGCAACAUCUAGUUACAAUUAGGAUCACACUUUAUUAGUUAAUGCACAAUGUACAACGCCAGAAUUUUGUAUACGUGAUGUUUAUGUUACAAAGUAAAAGGCGUGUCCUGCUAAGUUUAUUGUCCUCUAGUCUUGAAGGUGAUCUACAGUCCGAUCUGCGCAUGUGCACAAAUGAGCCCACUUUUUAUAAUACAAACAGUUUAACUAUGUUUUGAGUUCUUGAAAAGCCUAACUGUUGUUUCUUGAUCAUUUAUUAUACUCUAGAAGCUUGAAAAUAUAAAUAGUUGUCGAAUAAAGCUCAAUAUUUUGGACACAAAAAUGUAAACAAAGGCUUUGUUUACAUACGGACUGUAGAUCACCUUUAAUAUUACUCGUAAUUUUCUUGUUUUUGUAUGCAGUGGAAGCUACUAUAAAAGCCAUAAAGAAAAAACAGCCUAUUUUUAAUAAGCCUUGCAUAACAAAAUAUAACGCAUACUAUCCUAAGAUUGAAUAUCUAUUGAUUAUUUUCUAGUGUUGUUAAAGUUAACCCUGGUCAUAUGAAAGACCAAACCUGAAAAUUUCUAAGUCUCACGAUUUUUCAGUCAAUCUCACGACUUUUUAGAUAGCACCUCACUAUUUCUGCUACUCAAGGGUUGGCAGACCAUUUGUGUUGUAUAAAUGUAACCUCAAUUUUCUCCCCAUUUCAUGGCCUGUUGUAGUUUAAUAUGAAGCGACAAAAUAUCGGUUCAAAAGGGGCUUUUUUGUGGGAUUUUCAAGCACAUUUUGUGGGAUUGAUUAGCACACGUUGUUCUGUAAUGGGCCGUUCCAUUUAAUAUAGGCAACCCCCCCCCCCCCCACCCCACCCCCAAAGGUGGGGUUUACCGGGGGCAUAGCAGGGACAUAUAUUAAUUUUUUGGCCUAUGACCCUGGGGCAUUUGAAGCAUUUUGCAUGUUAUUUGCCUCCGGGGGUAGGGGAAUUUGAAUGGAUUUUUUUAUCGUAAUGCAUAUGGUCAAGGGAACAGAAACCAUAUGGAGAGAGGAAGAUUUUCAUGGGGCAUAAAAAAAAUACCUGUGGUUCCGGUUCCCGACCGACCCUAUUUUUUUCUGCCGACCCUAUUAUUUUUUCAACGCAAUUGAGUCCAUGCGACCCUAUUUUCUCUGGGUGGUUGUUGUGGGCUACUGCCAAAAUGGCAUCUGUUGUCACACUAAUUAUUGAAAAAACCAUGAAAAAAAUAUUAAAAAAAAAAAUUAUUUCCGACCUACCGACCCUAAUUUUUUCGCAAUAUGAAACCCUGGAACCACAGGGUUUUUUUACGUCUAAAAUAUACAGUAUAAAAGGGUUUUCACAAAUGUCGCAUUUUGAUUCAAUGAUCAUCAUUUUGUAAAUUUAGGUGUGAACAUGCCUAAAACGACAGUUACUGAUGACACGUUGACCAUUUAAUUAACUUUUUGAACUUUCUUAGGAUUUCUAAUUAAUUAAUUUUCAUAAUCUUGUUGCAUGCUGUAUUCUGUUUGGAGUAGAUAUAUAUUAUAAUCUGAAUAAUUAUAGUCAGUAUUUUAUGUAAUAAUUAUUUCCUUCUUAUUUGAGGACCCUUAUGAAAACCAUCUUUGAUGAUAAGUCUUCCUCACAAAAGAUUGUUUAAUUAAAUAAAGAAAAAACAUGCCAGAGCAUGCACCUCAGUAGGUUUUGUGUAACAAGUCUAUAAAACUGUUUUUUAUAAUCUUUUCAUGUUUCUUAUAAUCUUCUAUCCGUUUGUAUUACUGCUAUUAAAAUUGAAAAGGAACAGCCUCGGGUAUGGGGCUAUUAGUCAAGUUUUGAUGAGAAGGUGGUUCCCUGUUGUGGGGGCUUUUGCCUAUUUUAGAAAGGUGGCCAAAAGAAAUCCCCACUUUUUGCCAGGGUGUGGUGGGGUGUGUGGGGGUUAAUAUUGACUCAUACAUUAGGAUAUUGCUUUUCCCUCUUGGAUAUCACUAAAACACCUAAUUUUUGCUAUUUUUAUUUUAAUCUCUCCACAGCAUCUCAAGCUCACACGUGGUUGGGGUAUAUUUGUAUUUUUAUAUUGGCUUAUACUAUGACAGAAUAUAAUUACUAUAUAUUGUCAAAAAAUGCUAAAAUAUUGUAUUAAAUUGAGAAAUAAUGUUGCUUACCACUACUACAAUGUGUAAUUGACUUUUCUGGCUUGAUUUGGUGUGAUUCAAUCCGCUUGAGAUAUGUCUGCUUAAUAAGGAGAAAAAUAGAGAAGGCAGAGUACUUCCGCUGCAAUUAUCCCGAAUUAGUUGCAUCAACUUCACAAAUUCUUCUCACAUUGCUAAAUAAUGCAUCGAAUUACCAAAAAAGAACAGAUUCAUAAAGCCCAGUAAAUUUCCUAUAACAUGCAUCAUAUUUUUUGUCAGUAAAAAACAUAAAAUGUUCAAUCUUAUGCAGCGUGACUCCUCACACCCCGACUAUUCCGUUGAGAGCUCACAAAUUUGGAUUACACACUCUGCUAUCAUUGGUUGAUCUGAAUGCAUUGACAGCAGAGUGUCAUUCAAAUUUGUGAGCUCUCAACAGAAUAGUCGGAGUGUGAGGAGACUCACUCUCGCUGCAUAAGAUUGAACAUUUUAUGGUUUUUUACUGACAAAAAAGGCUUGUGAUUGCUGAAGAUGAUGUAUGUUAUAGGAAAUUUACUGGGCUUUAUGAAUCUGUUUUUUUUUUUUUUUGCAAUUCGAUGCAUUAUUUAGCAAUGUGCGAACAAUUUGUGAAGUCGAUGAGACUAAUUCAGGAUAAUUGCAGCGCCUGAUUGCAGUGGAAGUACUCUGCCAUGAAUCAAGCCAGGGGCAGAUCACGAUAUACUAAUUCUAUUCUUAAAAUAUAUGAAUAAGAACUGUCUAAACUUGCCAGAAAUUGCCUUUCUGAAUUUGUAUUAAGUCAGUGCCCGUUGACUGGCCGUUAUUUCGCACCCUGAGUGCUUGCAAUGGCUGAAUUGUUUAAUUGGUCAAUUUUUAUUUACUAGUUCCUGAGGUGGCCAUAACGUAUUGGAAAGACUUUAGUACAGAUGCAUCUUGGUUGCGUACGGUACAGAAUGCAAACUACACAAUCACUGGCUGCUGUAUUCACCCUAACUUUCCAGAAAUUUGUUCUAAGUGCCCAACAUAUAAACCUUUGACUGAAUGUAGAGACAACCCAACACAAGAAUUUGGGAGAAUAUGUCAACUUUCUCAUUAUAUAAUCACUGUACAAACUGUAUCUAUUAAUUUGAGCAUCACAGUCCCAGGAUGUCCCACACAAAGCAAGAUCUAUUCCAAAAAAAUUACUGAUGAAGGUAUAAUGUUACAAUUAUUUAUUAAUGUAAUUAUGUUGUAUGUAGUCAGUAUGCUAAGAUGUUAGGUGUUGGGUAGCAAAAACUGUUUGAAUGUUUGUAUUACAUGAUUAAUAC
rnacentral:lncRNA from 1 species